AGUUGGCCAGGCUGGAGCCCUGGGGAGCGUGGGGUCAUCAUCUUUGGGUGAAGUGGUCCUCCUCAGCCUUUGGACGGUCCAGCAUGUGUCGCUUCACGUCCCCUGCCUGCUCUGGGGUGGGGGUGGGGGGCCGAUUGGUUUUGCUCUUGCGUCCAGCGCAGUGACGCGCAGGGACCGCGUCAGAACCUGGGCACCACGAGAUUGGCUUUACACGUGGCUGGAGGCGAGAAGAGGCACCAGGAGGCCUUUGGGGUGGAGGGUCAACCCUGCUGGGUGGGCACAGUUGGCCACUUGACUCACAGUUGUGAAAAUGUAUCCACAGAAAAUUGGAAGGAGCAGUGUCAUGACAGCUCAAUUUUGUUAUCGAACGUUCCGACGUUCUUUGGGCUCAUCUGGUGACCAAUCUGCAGAGCUAUCGUGCUGCCUGGCGUGGCAACCUCACCGCCCGGCAGAUGGCUCAUUAGCUUGGUACUUGUUUAUUCUCCGUGUCUUGUUGUCAUCUGACCCUGCUCUCUCAGACCAUCUCCUUCGGGUGCCCAAACACCGAAUGCAGCUCUUCAGGGCCGUUUACCACCGAUCAGAGGACGGGGGUUCUGCCUAAAUUCGUGCUCCUCCAUCCUGGACGGCCCCUGGGGUUAGGCUCCAGCAGCCACCCCUCCCCUCUGCCUGCACCACAUCAGCCCAGAGGCUCCCUGGCGUCCUUGACCUGCAUUCCUGAUCCUGGCUUGGCCACCAGAAUCGCAGCCAGUGUAAGUUCCCAGAGCCAAGAUACAGCGGAAGGAAACCGCCUGCCUCUGCCAGGAGGGCUGCGCCCGGAUGACGAGCCAGGGUGGGGCAGGAGGCCUGGGGCCUGGUGGCAACUUGGCCACUGAGCUCAGAGCCCUGAGGGGGUCCAGGGGGCGAAGUUUCCAGCUGUCUGGGCUGUCAGGGUGUGAACCCUGCCUGAAUCUCGCAGGGCCGGGGCGGAGGCGAAGGAGCUCAGGGAAGUGCACAGCCAGCCCCUUGGGGGCGUCAGCCUCCGUGUGGGCUGAAACUUCUCCUGGUACCGUCCGGCCUGCGCACGGGCUCAUCCCUGCCUGCAGAGCUCACCCUUUAAUUGCCAUAAAGACCUCAUCAAGGAAGAAUUUCAAAUGAAGAAGUCAGAGCCAGAGUGCAGAACGGAAGGGCCGAGACUGUGGCCUGCGGAGCUGGAGGCGGGUUUCCGGGUCCCACACCAGCUCUUCAUCCCUGGCAAGAAGGGGCAAAGCCGCAAUGAGGAGGAAUAGAGGGUCUGCCCUGUGCCCCCAGAGUGGGCAGCCUCCAGCGAGGAUGCAGAGGCGGGGAAGGAAGUUCAGAGUACUCAGGAAGAGUCCAGAGGGUGUCUCUGUCGGUGGGAGGAGGCAUCCAUCUAGAGUAGCCGGGCCGGGCCAGGUGGAGCAUCUUCCCCCCCCCCACCCCCGGCCUGCAGCGCCCCAGGACGGGGUGGGCCAGCAGGUCUGCAGGCAGCUGCCGAUCCAGCCCCCAGGGCGUCCUCUGCCUCGUCCGUCUUGGGUGUAACUGGUGUUUUUAAUGACUCUUCCGAAAAUAAUCCAGUUGCUUCCUGUGCUUAUUCUUCCGACCUGGGGGGCGGGGGCGUGCCCCAACAUGAAUUUGUCGAACAAGCAAAAUGUAUGAGCGCCUACUGCAUACAAGGCACCGAGCGGGCCUUGUUAAAGGGGAUUGGAGUAGUCAAAGGGGGUCUGGAAACACCCUGGGAGAGGAUUAGCAUUAACAAGCUGGUCAGAGUAAGAUGCUUUACGUUCUGAGAGUUUUACCAUCGGCCUCUUGGAGGAACCAGCCUGCUUUGUGCAUUUCUAACAAACCGAACACCCCAUAAACUGCUCUAACCUUCUGGGAAAACCAUCUGCCAGGAGGCACCAAGAAUGAGAGGAAGCGUGAGCCCUCUGGCCCACCUGCCCCAGGCGUUCGUGCGACGGCAGUGCCAGCUUCAGUGGUACAGUAUUUGAUUUAUACACGCAUCAGCUUACUCCUUUUGAUGGCUUUGGUAAUUACAAAAUUAUUACUAGUUGUAAAUAUUUCAAACAACGCAGAAAAAAGGGACAGUCCCAUCCAGGUCAGAAGGUGGAGACCCAGCCCUUCUUAGUGGUCAUCCAAGGGGGUCACGGGGAUACAUGUGUUCUUACCUGCUCCUUAUUUAUCAGGUUCCCUAUAUGCUGGGCAUUGAGAUCUUCCUCAUCACUGAUUUCUACUGGCUCCUUUUAUAUUGUACAAAGGAUAGUAACCCUUUGACGAUCGUAUAUUUUACAAAUAUAUUCUACAAGUCAGUGGCUUCUCUUUUAACUUCAUUCGCGGUAUCUUCAUAACACAUUGAAGUAAUCAAAACUCUACCUCUUGUCAGCUUUCUGGAUUUCUUGUUGGCUUAGAAAGGAGAUGUCGUUUAUAACAGAAAAAUUUAAAAAGAAAUAAAGAAAGAUGUGACCUGGAUUUCCAAAGAUUGGGACCGCUAAUUAAAUUGUGGCGCAUUUGCCGGGGGGAAUACUGAGGACGAUGAUUAUGACGGUUUAUGGAGGCCGAGGGAAGUUACAACCCCGCCAGUGACAGGGCAGAAUCCAAAGAGGCAUUUACACCCUGACCCUUCAUUCCCGCCCUGACCCUUUUGUCAGCAAGCGCUCCAGGCCAGGCGACGCAGGUCUGGCUGUGGACAGAACCCGGCCCUGCUUGACGAGUUUACCUGCCGUGCUAGGCUCUGUGAAACCUGGCGGAGAGUUGAACCGAUUUAGGAAGAGAAUACGAAAUGGUUGGUUUAGGUUGGUAGGAUUCUAGGCAUUUUAUAAAAAACAUUUUUUUCUGAUGCUGUGAUGUUAUUUUUGCCAUAAAACGGGGAAAGGGGAAGAGUUAAAGUGCUAAACAAGGAGCGUGCGCGAGGCAGCAUCCUCCUGCUUCCCUGGAAGCGGCUGCAAAGGGAAGAACAGGUCUGCUUCACAAACGUGGCGCCGUGAGCCUUCCAGACCCAGGCAGACACUCGAGUCUGCUUACGGCGGUGGCGUGGAGUCACGCUCCUUGCCAGGACCCCCAGCUGGCCCCCCUUGUCCCCUUCUCGUGGGCGGUGACUCCCUUUCUGGACAGCUGGCGGAUCAAGACAUUCUUCCGUCCUCUCUCGGUCCAUUUUUGUGGCCUCCUACCUGCCUCUCCUCCCUCCCCCCUCCUUCGUGAGUAUGUGUCCCUGGAUCUUCCUAUUUGGUCCAUCUGCCCCUGUCAUCUCCCUGGCUGGCCUCCCUGGGGACCUCCCAUGUGACACACCUGGCGUCUACUAUCUGUCCUGUCCUUCUCCGUCCCCAUCCCCCGAAGACAGCAGACACUCUGCUGUGACGUUCGUGUCUGCUCUUCAUUUCAUCCGAGAAUAAUGUCCCUCCCUCUCUCCUCCCCUUGAUCGCCUCUUCCUUGAGGUCCAUUCAGGUGUCAUUUACACGGUGCCGUCUUCCUGAACCCCCAGAUCUCUGGACCAGGGUGGGGAGCUCCUCCCUGGGUCCCUGACGCCUGGCAUCCUGUGUGAUUCCCGCCAUGUAGCCCCGUAUGAUUUGCGUGUCCUCCCAAGCUUGACUCCUUGUUGAUCAAAGGGGGUGACAACAGCUGGCCCGAGGUGUCCUGAAGAUUGACGGCAGUGGGUGAUAACGCGCGAACGUGCGUGAGCCCGGGCCUGGUGCACGUCGGGGCUCGGGGCUGUCUUGUCCUGGUUGGAAGAGCGGCGUUGCCGUAACCCUCACUCACCCUGUGCACCCUGCCACCGUGUCCCCACUAAAUGAUGCCCUUGCGAGGGAAGGGCGGAAUUGUGGGCGGGCUUCAACAGGGGCGGCCCUCCCCCCGGAGCUGAGUGGACGUCGCACAACCUUCAGCAGGUGAAUGCCUUUCUGUGACCGGGCAGCCCCCGUUCCUCUGUACGAAGCUGAUGACCUGUGUUGAAUUUUUGACCUUGGCUUAAUUAGCAUCAAAAGCCGUACUAAGAGCCAACCGUGCAUUCCCUGCCCUUUGGCUGAAAUAUUUUUCUGAGUUUCUGAGGAGGAAGGUGGUGCCUCGGGCCAACCCCGGGAGGCCUCUGCCCCAUCGCCCCGUGAGAACCUGUUUCUCCACCGCCUGCCGCUGGAAGCUGGAGUCCUGCACAGCCCGCGCGGGUCAAGGGCCACCACCCAGCAGCCAGUUCUGCAGCGCUGGGGACCUGUCCCGGAAACAGGGACAGCCUCCCGUCCCCUCUCAUGGUGACACGCCACUUGCCACCUCUAACCCAUCUCUCCCGCAGGGACUGUGGCUGCUGUCAUUUCUGGACAGCACCUGCUGGCCCCUCAGGUCACUCACCUGGUAGGGGCUCCCAAGAACUGGGAGUGAGUGACACACACCCUGGGGGGCUCAGGCGCUGUAGCAGCACAGGGACCCCGGCUCUCUCUGGACCACGUUCCCUGCGCUCAGAUGGGUAUCAGGGCCCGAGAGCUCAUCCCGACGCACAGAGCUGCCCCAACUGGGAGAGGAACAGAGUGACAUCAUCAGAGCUAAGGAGGCUCCAACAGGGCGAAGUGGGGUGAGGCAGGGGUUUGUGUGCUUUGGGCCCAGUCUCCUGGGGGAUGAUGCUAAGACCUGCCACCGGCAGUGGCCGCUCACCAAGGAGCUCUCGUUCCUGUAAUAAUCUCACUGUCUCUUGUCACCCCAAGUUCUUUGGCGAGUGGGGAUGGCCGUCCACCAGACGCCAACUCGACAGGCUGGUUUUUUUUGUCUGGGCCUCUGGGUGAGCAUCGGAGUCUGUUCUCAGCCUCCCCUGCAUUCAGGAGUCCCAGGGUGACUGCCCCAGCAGGUGCAGGAACCUAAGUCAUUGCCUAGCUGAUCCAAGCACCCAGAUGACCCCCGGCUCUGGCUCGACUCAGUAGUAAGUCUGCCGUUGUGAGUAGAACCCACUGCAAACUGAUGAUCUCAUUUCCAGAACUAGGACACGACGGCCUAAUUCGUAUGCAGACCUGUACAUGAUUAUCCAUAAUAGCUUAUAUCUGUAGAUCCUGGCGUUCCGACUUAAUUGCAAGCUCUUUAAAGAGGAGGAUAGUGUCCUAUUUAUUUUGGAUGGCUUCCGCAGUGCCUAGGAAUGCUUUAGAAAAUAUUCCGAAUGCUAGUUUAGGGGCCGGAGCUGGUACAUCCUUCAGCGAAAGAAACUCUUCUGUAAACUCAAAGUUGGACAGUGGUCAUGCCUCUUGUAAAUCUGUGACUAAUUUCCGAAGCACCCACCUGUCCAAAUCAGCAGGAAGUUCCCUGUCCUGUAUCCCAAGAGCGUCCUUCUCCUUCCCAAGUGUCCCAAACCCCAAGGGUUUACGAAGGUCAAAGGGAAGGGCCACUGAAUCCUUCCCCUGGGGAGAAGGCAAGGCCCCGAUCAGCCCAUUUCUUCUUCUAUUGCGUCCCACAAAAGUAAGCAAAUAAACAAAAAGUGCCCCUCCUGCAACAUGGGAGAAAGAUUAGAUUUUGAAAAUUGCAGGAUGAUGGAAGAGAGAGAUCUUAACAGCUGGAAAUUCCUGUUUUUCUUUUUUUUUUAAUUUCUUAGCAGUUGAGCCGUGACUAAUAUUUGCUCAUUUAAAUAAUUUGGGUCUGAGAGCCAUGCGCUGUGGGUGAUGCUCCAGGCAUCCCCCUGACGGCAGCUUUAGGGAGUUGGGUCUCAGGAGACCCCACUGUCGGCUGCCUCCCCUCAGACGGGUCCCCUCAUCCAUGGAGACAGGAGAGUGGCUCUCUCCACAAUCCAUGGCCUCUACGACCUCUUCCCUCCUCCUCUCUUCUCUCUUUCUUUUGGUUUAGUUCUUUCAACUCCAUCUAACCUGUGGAUUUCCCUUUCCUCCGGCCCUGGGGAAAGUCUGUGGAAUUCAGUCCCAGACCCUCUGGUCCCCUAGCCUUUGGGGUGAGCCCAUUCUCAACACCAUGACGCCCUUAAAUGAGGGAAAGCACUUUUGAACACAGAAAAGGCUGAGUUCUAAAAAAGAAGCUUCUGCUAAGAAAAAAGCAUUUGCCAGAGUUUGGAAACAUGAACUUGCGAUGGCCUGUUUCUGAUCAGAACUUCGUAAAGACCAACAUCAAAACAAAUGGACAGGCAGGACCUGUCAGGCCUCCCAACCUCUGAGCCCGGCCCAAAUUCAGACAAUUGCAAAUAAACACUCACUGAGCUCAGAGCAGGGUGAAGCGCUGGGCCUGGAGUGGGGAGUCGGGAGCCGGGAGCAGGGAUUGUGGCAAAGGUAUAUGUGGCUGGGCCCUGCUCUCUGACAAGCUCACAGACAGACAGUGGAGGAAGAUUUGUAAGCAAGAGAUAGUGCCCAUCUCCCCUCGUCCCCACCUGCACAUACACGCAGUGUGAUAAGUCCCAUCUCCAGUAGAUAUUUGCCAAAAGCUCUAUCAGUUAACAAGAUAGGCAGAAUUCUACCAACCUGGGACUUAUAUUCUAGCGGGGAGACAGACAAACAGACACCUACCUGGGACUCAUAUUCUGGUGGGGAGAUAGAUAAUAAACAAACAAUAGAUGUAUAAUUCCAGCACAAAGAUAAGACUUAUCAAGGAAAAAAUAAAGCCAAGAAGGAGGAUAGAGGAUUCCUCGGGCUGCUGUUUUAGAUAUUGUGGUCAGGGAAGGCAUCAUGGGGGGGGGGGGUGUGACAUUUGAGCAGAGUGAAAGACUUGUUUGAAGGGAGAGCUGUCGAGGAGGAGGGAACAGAAGCAGGGAAGGCCUGAGGCAGCCAGGGCUGGGGCAGGGAGGUGGUGGAGCAGAGGCAGAAGGACAGCUGGGGAUCAGAGCGGGCUGGCGUUGCAGGGUUUGGGGUUUUACUCUAGGUGUAACCAAAGCCACAGGAGGAUCAAAAGCUGUAAAGUGACCCGAGCAGACUUGGAUGCAGGUGACAUGUGUGCAAGGAGGCCAGGCAGGGCCAGCAGGUCCUGGGAUGUGGUCAGUUGGGGUUUGAGUCCAGCUCUUACUUGUUGGGCAACCCUGGAUAGAUUGCUUACCCUUCCUGAGCCUCAGUUUUCUUCUCUGUGAAAUGGGCACAUAGGGCCUUUGCAAGGAUUAAUGGUAUAAAGCGUGUAAAGCACUUAGCCCCACAUAGCGUGACUUCAUCCAUGCCUUUCUUCUUCCUCGUACUUCUCUGUUCUGCUUUCUGUAUAACAAGCACUAGAUCACUGUUGCCAUGGCAGUUGUAAUUUUUUUCACUUGGGAGUGUAGGUUUAAGAACUGCUGAAGAGGCCCCUUCAGAGCGUUGAACACUCCAAAGAAAACUUCUGCUCCCACAUCAGGGCGGUCGGCAAUCGUCUUCCUUCCUGAGAUGCUCCAGGUGACAGCAUCCAGCCGUGGGGAGGGAUGCCCGGAUCAGCGAGGACCUUUAAUGGGAAUCACCUGGGGCCUCCCCUGCUCCAUCUUUCCUUGCUGCCUUCCAGGAAUGGAGCUGGUCCUGCUGACCAUCAGAGCGUGUGUGGGAUGCCGUGUGCGCCCAGAACCACCUACUUCAAGGCUAUCUCCCUGGUGACCAGCUGUCCCCGUUCACACAACAUUUGUGCAGCAGCAGCUCUGUACCUGUGGUGAUGAGACACAGCUGGGGGGUCGCUGCCGUCGCUGUUUCACAUACAUUUGCUGCCCCCUCCUUCUUUUAAGUGCAAAGGUAGGAGUGGGUCUAACAGCCUACCGGCAAACCUUCAAAUUGCCGUCAUCUCAGGGCAAGCCGGUCCUCAGCCGCGUAAUAAACAGGGUGAAAGAACACGGGCGCUCAGCCACCGUGUACAGGAACGUUUGGUGCUUCGGAGGAAGAUAGAUUGGAGGCUUUUCAUCUGUGAGGUGUCCCAUAAAAACAUUAAUGUUUGAUGAUGUAAGAUACGGUUCCCCAAAUUUCCUUUCUUUCUAAAACACAGGGCCAGCGAAACCCGGAUUACAUCCAGGGCUCAUUAGAUGCUUCAUUUGCAAGGGACAGAAUCUCAGCUCAAAUAAAUAUUUACAGAGAGAUGACAAAGAUAGCACGCAGAGUUCUCAUGGACCCUGCACCAGUUUCCCCCAUGAUCAACAUGUUACCUUAGCGGGCUACACUUAGCAGAAUGAAUGAACAGAUCCCAGCCAGGAAACCACGUAACAUCAGGCAUCCUGUCUCCUGGGGAUCCUCUGGGCUGUGACAGCUUCUCAGACUUUCCUGGGUUUGAUGCCCUUGAGAGCUUCGAGGAGGACUGGACUUCUUUACUUUCUGAGACCGCAAGACGUUGCAGCUCAUCUUGUAGAUUUCCUGCCCUGGUCCUAGAAUCAGCCAUCUCUCCAAGGCACCCUGGUUCUUUUUACUGGAGAACGGUAUUAAGAACCAACAUCUGGUCCUGAGUGUGCUCAUUGCUGCUGGAGUUGCUGCAAGGCUCAGCUGUCCCUUACAGCUGACUGAGCAAGAAAAUAUAUGUGAACCUACUGAGCCAUGUGUAUACGCAUGUCUAUAAAUACUUCCACGUAGAACCUCGGUAUCUAUGUGAAGUCAAACGUGACCGUGUUGGUAUCUCCCGCUCGAGCCCAUUACCAUGUGGACCGUUGCUGCCUCUCUUCUUGCACAUCUGUUACCUCCCACUCCCACGGUGAGAAAGCCACCGCCUACCACCCAUGACUCGUUCAACUCCAGUAUCUAUGUGUUCGGUGUUUGCAGGGCCUGUCGGGGUGGGUGGGCUCUCAGGGCCUGGCCGUCUGGACGUAGGGGUGAGGAAGGGCUGGACGGGUUUCUGGCUGGGAAACCAGUCUACCCUGUGAGCUGCCCGCUCCCGGCUCCGUGACCAUGGUCACCGAGCAAUCCAGGCUCCCCAAGCUGGAGGCUGAGGGCCAGCAGUGUUGCGGGAGUUUAUCAUCUGCUGUGGAAUUCACAGAUGACUGAGCUGCUUCUCUGCAGAGCGUUCGAUAAGGCGCCUGGACAGAUGCUCAUUUCUUCCUCCCAGCCCGGGCGGGAUGCGGUGGCUGCAGAAAGAAGGAGGUGACAGGAAGGGUGUUUUGAUGAGCACUCACACGUGGAGGUAGGAAGAAGGCAGAGUUUGACAAACCGUCCAAGGCUGGAGGGAAUAAAUAAAGACGCUGGGAAGGGACCUAUCAGAUGACCCUGAGACAAUCUUAAACCCAGGAAGGAUGUAUAAGGAAUGAAGAGUCUCAAACGAAAAAAGACCUACUGUGUAGCACAUGUAACUGUACUCAAUACUUGUCCCUCAAUAAGGGAAAAGAAUCUGAAAAAGAAUAGAUUUAUACAUAUGCAUAACUGAAUCACUGUGCUGUACACCUGAACUAACACGACAUUCUAAAUCAACUAUACUUCAAUUAAAAAAAGAAAAAGAAAUUAAAAAAAGACUCUCCAUGUGCUGGAAGAGGAAGAACGGGAGUUAAUGUUUUUUGUUUUUUGUUUUUUGCGGUACGCGGGCCUCUCACUGUUGUGGCCUCUCCCGUUGCGGAGCACAGGCUCUGGACGCGCAGGCUCAGCGGCCAUGGCUCACGGGCCCAGGCGCUCCACGGCACGUGGGAUCCUCCCGGACCCGGGGCACGAACCCAUGUCCCCUGCAUCGGCAGGCGGAUUCUCAAUCACUGCGCCACCAGGGAAUCCCCAGGAGUUAAUUUUGAACGAAGCCGUGAAUCUCUUGAUGAGAAGACCGAGGUUGCAAUGGCAACUUCAAAGCAAAAUGUUGAAAGGUAGUCUUUCAUCCAAAAGUGACCUCCCCUUUGAAAAGUCCCCAAUCCAGACCCAGGUAGCGUGGGGAGGGCCCCCAGGAGCCCACCUGAUGAGACUGAUGGUUUCAUAAGGGUUCAGCACGGGGUCUGCUCCUGGAACAGGGCUCUCCUGGGGCUGGGGUUGAAGCCCUUCCUGUCACUUUGCCCUCCUUGGAGGGCAUCUGAGUUUGGGGCAAGUUACUUGCCGGCUGUGGUCAUCCGCUGCCGUGGCCAGGAGCCCCUCUGUCUGUGUUUUGUGGGUCAGCAGAGCUACCCUGAAUAUUUUGCUCAAAAGUAGCUCAACACUGUCAGUGGACCCAGGAAGUCCCCUGUAACCUGACCCUGAGGACGAGUUUUUCGUAGACAUUUAUAGAUUGCCAGGAGAGUGAAGAAAACUUCAUCUUCUCUGUCCCCCUGACACCACCCCAAAUGUAGCUGGGACAUUACAUCAAUGUCACGUGUUCCUUUCUCCAUCUCUGAGACGUCGAUGCUCAUCAGAAUUUGCAAGGGGGUCACGGAGCUCAGAGCUCGAUGGUUCUUGGAAGCAGGCAUGGGCUGUCAGAGGCAGCUUUCCCCCAGUGUGUGCAUGUGUGCUUGUGUGUGCGUGUGCCUGUGUGUGUGUGGCUGUGUGUGCAUGUGCGCCUGUGUGCGCUCCUGUGUGUGUGCGUGCGCCUGUGUGUGUGCGUGCUUUGUGUGUGCAUGAACUCUGUAAAAUUCUAUUCAUGAGCCAAACUCCACACGAAUCCCUCUCAGGUGUGUGCGGGUUAAUCUAAUCCCACCCACAAAACACAGAGCGCCUCCAAGGCCAAUUCCCUGAAAACCUCAUCACGGCAGCUGACGAAAACACACAGUCUUCCGGUUUCCUAGAAAUAGUCAUUUUUACCAUUUUGCAAUCCGGAUGGAUUCUUUGAAGAGAUGUUGUUCUCAGGCACGUGGGUUUGAUGUGAUUGUGUUCGUGGUAACAAAAACAACACCAGGCCAGGAGCUCCCAAAAUGCUGUUAACAUCCCUGUUUGUCAGUAGGUUUUACACACUGGCCUUCCACCCACUUUCUAGCUUUAAAAAAGAGAAGAAAAUGGUGUACAAAAUGGCAUAAAACUGGAAAAGGCAGGUCUCUCUGGAAGCACUCCUCAGCUGAGCUGCAGCGUCUGUAGGGCUCUGUUAUGAUAUUGGUCUCACCAUCCACGUCAGUGGAAGAGUUAGUCAGACUGAGGAGUUAUCACUGUGUGGAAUAAAUAUCCAGCGAUCUGACUGCAUGUAACUCUUUCCCAUGAUGAUCUGAUGUUCGGUGACAGAA